CGGUAUCCUGACCGUGCAAAGGUAGCGUGAUAAAUUGCCCUUUAAUUGUGGGCCUGUACGAACGGAUAAACGAGAGCAUUGCUGUCUUCUACUAUAAAAAUAAAAAUUGAUAUCCGGGUGAAAAAGCCCAGAUAAGCCCAAAGGACAAAAAGACCCCGUAGAGCUCUGGUAUUAGUACAAAGCUAACUUAGACUACAAACCAAGUAAAAAUAACAUGCUUUUACAACACCUUAACUGGGGCGGUUGAGGAAAAAUUAAUCUUCCUUUAAUAAAUACAAAGGCCACGCCUGCCUUAAAUAAGUGUCCCUUAUAUAAAGAUCAAAGGACAAGCUACCUCGGGGAUAACAGAUUUAUCUUCCUUGAGAGUUCACAUUGACAGGAAGGUUUGACACCUCGAUGUUGGCUUAGGGUACCCAAAGGAUAGCAGCAGUCCUUAAAGGUAGGUUUGUUCAACCUUUAAAACCCUACAUGAUCUGAGUUCAAACCGGAGA
rnacentral:rRNA from 1 species